rnacentral:rRNA from 1 species
AUGUCUAAGUUCACACUGUCCCACGGUGAAACCGCGAAUGGCUCAUUAAAUCAGUCGAGGUUCCUUAGAUGACACGAUCCUACUUGGAUAACUGUGGCAAUUCUAGAGCUAAUACAUGCUUAUGAAGCUCCGACCCUCGUGGAAAGAGCGCUUUUAUUAGUUCAAAACCAAUCGCUGUUCCACUCGCAAGAGUGGGCGGCGUCCCCUUUGGUGACUCUGGAUAACUUUGUGCUGAUCGCAUGGCCCUUGUGCUGGCGACGCAUCUUUCAAAUGUCUGCCCUAUCAAAUGUCGAUGGUACGUGAUAUGCCUACCAUGUUUGUAACGGGUAACGGGGAAUCAGGGUUCGAUUCCGGAGAGGGAGCAUGAGAAACGGCUACCACAUCCAAGGAAGGCAGCAGGCGCGCAACUUACCCACUCCCGGCACGGGGAGGUAGUGACGAAAAAUAACAAUACGGGACUCUUUCGAGGCCCCGUAAUUGGAAUGAGUACACUUUAAACCCUUUAACGAGGAUCUAUUGGAGGGCAAGUCUGGUGCCAGCAGCCGCGGUAAUUCCAGCUCCAAUAGCGUAUAUUAAAGUUGUUGCAGUUAAAAAGCUCGUAGUUGGAUCUCAGGUGCAGGCGGGCGGUCCGGCUCGCGCCGGUUCACUGCCCGUAUCUCCUGCCCUACCGUCUGUCGGCUCUCUCCCGUGGGUGCUCUUUACUGAGCGUCCCGGGUGGCCGACGCGUUUACUUUGAAAAAAUUAGAGUGUUCAAAGCAGGCCUUGGCAGCCUGAAUAAUGGUGCAUGGAAUAAUGGAAUAGGACCUCGGUUCUAUUUUGUUGGUUUUCGGAAACGAGGUAAUGAUUAACAGGGACAAACGGGGGCAUUCGUAUUGCGGCGUUAGAGGUGAAAUUCUUGGAUCGCCGCAAGACGGACUACUGCGAAAGCAUUUGUCAAGAAUGUUUUCAUUAGUCAAGAACGAAAGUCAGAGGCGCGAAGACGAUCAGAUACCGUCGUAGUUCUGACCAUAAACGAUGCCAACUAGCGAUCCGCAGGAGUUGCUUUGAUGACUCUGCGGGCAGCUUCCGGGAAACCAAAGUCUUUGGGUUCCGGGGGAAGUAUGGUUGCAAAGCUGAAACUUAAAGGA